CACGGGGGGAGCAAGCGUUGUUCGGAAUCACUGGGCGUAAAGGGCGUGUAGGCGGCCAGGUAAGUGAGAUGUGAAAUGCCCCGGCUCACCCGGGGACCGGCAUCUCAUACUGCUUGGCUUGAGUACGGGAGAGGAUGUGGGAAUUCCUGGUGUAGCGGUGAAAUGCGUAGAUAUCAGGAGGAACACCGGUGGCGAAGGCGCACAUCUGGCCCGAUACUGACGCUGAGGCGCGAAAGCUAGGGGAGCAAACGGG
rnacentral:rRNA from 1 species